AUCUGUGACCGAACAAGUGAGCAUCACUCGAUUUUGGCUGAUUUCAGGCCGAAAACCACCAACUUAAAAAGAAACCAUGCUAUAUAAACUAUAAAUAUCAACCCAUUUCAGACCAUCAAGGUGCUCACUUUUGUUUGGCAACGAGUUGAAUUGAAGACAAGUGGGUUAGAACAAGUUCCCAUCACAUGAGCAAGCAGGGGCGAAUCUUUCUUGGGACGGGGGGUCGCGACCACCAAAAAAAAAUUAUAGUUAAAGUGAUCAAAAUGCCUUUAUUAAAAUUACAAAUUCACAAUAAUUCUUAAACUCUAAAUCAUAUUCUCUCUCUUCCUCUCUCUCCUAUGUGUUGUUCUCUCUUCAUCUCUCUCAUGUUGCGUCGCGCCGCCGCUGCUGCCUCCCCUUGCCCCAGCUCGCCUCGCCUUGGCCGUUCAUCAUCAAAACUCCAAAGAUUUCUCAAAUUCACUAGAAUCCUAAUAUUUCGAAUCCAAAUUCUCGCAUCCUGCCUCACAAGUGCUGAAUUUUGGUGAGAAAUCAACAUGACAUAUGUAGAGUAUUUCAGCCAUAUCUGG